GAUUCCCUUAGUAAUGGCGAACGAAAAGGGAAUGGUCCAGCGCCAAGUCUUGACACCUAUGGUGUUCAAGAGAUGCGGCGUUCAUGUAUUGGUGCAUCGUACGUCGUUUCCAGUUUCAAGUUCCUUUGACAGGGACAUCCAGAGCGGGUGCUAGGCCCAUAGAGACAAGAGACUGACGUACGCCAACCAAUGCAUUCUAGAGUCAGGUUGCUUGAGAGUGCAGCUUAAAGUCGGUGGUAAACUCCAUCCAAGACUAAAUACUACAGCGAGACCGAUAGCAAACAAGUACCGUGAAGGAAAGUUGCAAAGCACUUUGAAGAGAGAGUUCAACAGUACGUGAAACCACUGGGAGGCAAACAGAUGGAACCACGAAGUGUGCGCCUCGGUCGAUUCAAUCCAUGGUUGCGGGUGUCUCUGGCUGAAAGGGAUCUCUUCGGAGGUUGGUCAGCCGGGGAAUACCUGUUGCCAUGGGUGCAUUUCGUGCCGAGGAUGCUAAGCCACGUUCAACCAGAGUUGGGACGGCCAUAGGACAGGGCCUGGGAAAGGUGCCCGUCAAGUGCUUGCAUUUGGCGGCGUUAUAGACCCGGACCGGAACCGUCGCCUAACAUGCUGGUUGAUGCAAGUUCUCCUUUUGGAGUGAAACUGCAACUGCCUGCGUUGGUAAGCCGGCGUUUCGGUGUGUUCUUUGCGUAUCUUUGGGUGCGAAAAGGCAUGCCAACAGCGUCGUCUAAUUGAUGCUUGCGUGUUGCGGUGGAACUGUGGCGCGAGUAGGUCGGUCUCCAUCUGACCCGUCUUGAAACACGGACCAAGGAGCCUAUCAUAUACGCGAGUCGCUCGGUCUUGACUAGGCCCGGGAGGCGAAAUGAAAGUAAAGCUACCUUCAGUAGCGGCACACCUACUUCGUAUAUUGGCGAUCAGGUGUAGCUGGAGCGUAUACGAUGGUACCCGAAAGAUGGUGAACUAUGCCUGGGCAAGACGAAGCCAGAGGAAACUCUGGUGGAGGUCUGUAGCGAUUCUGACGUGCAAAUCGAUCGUCAGACCUGGGUAUAGGGGCGAAAGACUAAUCGAACCAUCUAGUAGCUGGUUCCCUCCGAAGUUUCCCUCAGGAUAGCAGGCGCUUAUUUGUCAGUCUCAUCCGGUAAAGCUAAUGAUUAGAGGUCUUGGGGUUGAAACGACCUCAACCUAUUCUCAAACUUUAAAUGGGUGAGAUGGUUGACUUUCUUGAUUGAAGCCAACCAUUAUGGAUGCGAGUGCCUAGUGGGCCAUUUUUGGUAAGCAGAACUGGCGCUGUGGGAUGAACCAAACGUCGAGAUAAGGCAUCAAAUGCAUACGCUCAUGAGACCCCAUGAAAGGUGUUGGUUGCUAUAGACAGCAGGACGGUGGCCAUGGAAGUCGGAAUCC
rnacentral:rRNA from 1 species